UUUACUAUAUACGUAAUAAUAAUUUCAUUAUGUAGGAUCGUGAGCAAGUUCGAACAAGCAGCAGGCAAAAAUAAAAAUUCACGCACACGGCAGGGUCGAGAAGUUUUGCUUCUGUAGCUGAGGCCGAGGAAGUCAAAUCUGGACAAAAGGUUGGACACCUUCAGCUUUUUGAGAUUACGCAUAGGAAGAAAGAUGGAUCUCCUAUGACAUCCGAAGCUGGAGAAAUUAUGGAGAAACUAAAGGAGAAGAAGGCAGAAUAUGAAGCGAUUGCUUCGACUGAUAGUUCUGUUAAUCUUGAGAACAUUGAUAAUAGAAUUAUCAUUGAAGUUUUGGGUCCUGAAAGGUACGGUCAGG